CCCCCCCUCCUAGACGACGCUGGCGGCGUGCCUAAUACAUGCAAGUCGAACGAACUCUGGUAUUGAUUGGUGCUUGCAUCAUGAUUUACAUUUGAGUGAGUGGCGAACUGGUGAGUAACACGUGGGAAACCUGCCCAGAAGCGGGGGAUAACACCUGGAAACAGAUGCUAAUACCGCAUAACAACUUGGACCGCAUGGUCCGAGUUUGAAAGAUGGCUUCGGCUAUCACUUUUGGAUGGUCCCGCGGCGUAUUAGCUAGAUGGUGGGGUAACGGCUCACCAUGGCAAUGAUACGUAGCCGACCUGAGAGGGUAAUCGGCCACAUUGGGACUGAGACACGGCCCAAACUCCUACGGGAGGCAGCAGUAGGGAAUCUUCCACAAUGGACGAAAGUCUGAUGGAGCAACGCCGCGUGAGUGAAGAAGGGUUUCGGCUCGUAAAACUCUGUUGUUAAAGAAGAACAUAUCUGAGAGUAACUGUUCAGGUAUUGACGGUAUUUAACCAGAAAGCCACGGCUAACUACGUGCCAGCAGCCGCGGUAAUACGUAGGUGGCAAGCGUUGUCCGGAUUUAUUGGGCGUAAAGCGAGCGCAGGCGGUUUUUUAAGUCUGAUGUGAAAGCCUUCGGCUCAACCGAAGAAGUGCAUCGGAAACUGGGAAACUUGAGUGCAGAAGAGGACAGUGGAACUCCAUGUGUAGCGGUGAAAUGCGUAGAUAUAUGGAAGAACACCAGUGGCGAAGGCGGCUGUCUGGUCUGUAACUGACGCUGAGGCUCGAAAGUAUGGGUAGCAAACAGGAUUAGAUACCCUGGUAGUCCAUACCGUAAACGAUGAAUGCUAAGUGUUGGAGGGUUUCCGCCCUUCAGUGCUGCAGCUAACGCAUUAAGCAUUCCGCCUGGGGAGUACGGCCGCAAGGCUGAAACUCAAAGGAAUUGACGGGGGCCCGCACAAGCGGUGGAGCAUGUGGUUUAAUUCGAAGCUACGCGAAGAACCUUACCAGGUCUUGACAUACUAUGCAAAUCUAAGAGAUUAGACGUUCCCUUCGGGGACAUGGAUACAGGUGGUGCAUGGUUGUCGUCAGCUCGUGUCGUGAGAUGUUGGGUUAAGUCCCGCAACGAGCGCAACCCUUAUUAUCAGUUGCCAGCAUUAAGUUGGGCACUCUGGUGAGACUGCCGGUGACAAACCGGAGGAAGGUGGGGAUGACGUCAAAUCAUCAUGCCCCUUAUGACCUGGGCUACACACGUGCUACAAUGGAUGGUACAACGAGUUGCGAACUCGCGAGAGUAAGCUAAUCUCUUAAAGCCAUUCUCAGUUCGGAUUGUAGGCUGCAACUCGCCUACAUGAAGUCGGAAUCGCUAGUAAUCGCGGAUCAGCAUGCCGCGGUGAAUACGUUCCCGGGCCUUGUACACACCGCCCGUCACACCAUGAGAGUUUGUAACACCCAAAGUCGGUGGGGUAACCUUUUAGGAACCAGCCGCCUAAGGUGGGACAGAUGAUUAGGGUGAAGUCGACGGGGGACCCCCCCAAAAAAAAAG
rnacentral:rRNA from 2 species